CUGAGCGUGUGAUGAAACAAGUUAUCCCUGGCUGAAAAGAGCCUUUCUGUUUGUGGAACUGAGAAUUCUGAAGCUCAG